rnacentral:rRNA from 1 species
GGCUUAGAAGCAGCCAUCCUUGAAAGAGUGCGUAAUAGCUCACUGGUCAAGUGAUUCUGCGCCGAUAAUGUAGCGGGGCUCAAGUACACCGCCGAAGUUGUGGCAAUGAUCUUUUUUGGAUUGUUGGGUAGGGGAGCGUCGUGUAGCCGGUGAAGCUGCGGUGUAAACCAGUGGUGGAGGCUAUGCGAGUGAGAAUGCAGGCAUGAGUAGCGAAAGAUGAGUGAGAAACUCAUCCGCCGGAUGAUCAAGGGUUCCAGGGUCAAGUUAAUCUGCCCUGGGUUAGUCGGGGCCUAAGGCGAGGCCGACAGGCGUAGUCGAUGGAUAACGGGUUGAUAUUCCCGUACCGGUGAAAAACCGCCCAUACUGAUAUUGUGAUGCUAACCAUGCGAAGCAUGAUGUGCAGGCUUUUGUUUGUGUGUUGUGUGGGUUGUGGGACCCGAUCUUUGGAGGUAAACGUGUUAACAGGUGUGACGCAGGAAGGUAGCCAAGCCACGCGAUGGUUGUCGUGGUCUAAGCGUGUAGGGUUGUCGGUUGUUAAAUGCGCCGGCUGUGUGCCUGAGACGUGAUGGGACCCCGUUUUUGGGGGAUUUGGUGAUCCUAUGCUGCCGAGAAAAGCAUCGGCGUGAGGUUUUAGCCGCCCGUACCCUAAACCGACACAGGUGAUCAGGUAGAGAAUACUAAGGCGAUCGAGAGAAUCAUGGUUAAGGAACUCGGCAAAAUGCCCCCGUAACUUCGGGAGAAGGGGGACCUUGAGCGUGAUGGGCACUUGCUGCCUGGAGCGUGUAUGGGUCGCAGAGACCAGGGGGAAGCGACUGUUUAUCAAAAACACAGGUCCGUGCGAAGUCGUAAGACGAUGUAUACGGACUGACUCCUGCCCGGUGCUGGAAGGUUAAGAGGAUUGGUUAGCCUUUUUUGGCGAAGCUGAGAAUUUAAGCCCCAGUAAACGGCGGUGGUAACUAUAACCAUCCUAAGGUAGCGAAAUUCCUUGUCGGGUAAGUUCCGACCUGCACGAAUGGAGUAACGACUUCCCUACUGUCUCAACCAUGAACUCGGCGAAAUUGCAGUACGAGUAAAGAUGCUCGUUUCGCGCAGCAGGACGGAAAGACCCCGUGACCUUUACUAUAGUUUGGUAUUGGUGUUUGGUUUGGCUUGUGUAGGAUAGGUGGGAGACUGUGAAGCAUGGACGCUAGUUUGUGUGGAGUCGUUGUUGAAAUACCACUCUGGUCAAUCUGGAUGUCUAACUUCGGGCCAUGAUCUGGUUCAGGGACAGUGCCUGAUGGGUAGUUUAACUGGGGCGGUUGCCUCCUAAAGUGUAACGGAGGCGCCCAAAGGUUCCCUCAGCCUGGUUGGCAAUCAGGUGUUGAGUGUAAGUGCACAAGGGAGCUUGACUGUGAGACUGGCAGGUCGAGCAGGGACGAAAGUCGGGACUAGUGAUCCGGCGGUACGUUGUGGAACGGCCGUCGCUCAACGGAUAAAAGGUACCUCGGGGAUAACAGGCUGAUCUUGCCCAAGAGUCCAUAUCGACGGCAUGGUUUGGCACCUCGAUGUCGGCUCGUCGCAUCCUGGGGCUGGAGUUGGUCCCAAGGGUUGGGCUGUUCGCCCAUUAAAGCGGUACGCGAGCUGGGUUCAGAACGUCGUGAGACAGUUCGGUCCCUAUCCGCUGCGCGCGUUGGAAAUUUGAGAAAGGCUGUCCUUAGUACGAGAGGACCGGGACGGACGAACCUCUGGUAUGUCAGUUGUACCGCCAGGUGCAUGGCUGAUUGGCUACGUUCGGGAGGGAUAACCGCUGAAAGCAUCUAAGCGGGAAGCCUGUUUCGAGAUGAGAUUUCCUGGCACUUUUUGGUGUGUGAGGCUCCUUAUAGAUGAUGAGGUUGAUAGGCCGGGUAUGGAAGCGGGGACUGAAGACUCGUGGAGUUGACUGGUACUAAUAGGCCGAAGGCUUACUUU